CCAUAAAACCUCAAACCCGUGAAGGAUUUUAACAUCCCUACUCUAAGAUAGAGCAUACCUUCAUAACUACACGAUUAAAAACAUAACAUAUAUUUUUUUAUUAUUUAUCACUUUGCGUGUGUGACUGUGAUUCGUGCUCUACUUUAGAGCAGCUCAAAGAUAGCCAUUGCCUUAUUCACAAAUCAUACACAACAUAUAGAUGCGGGCAGGGGCUUGUUACACUUGUAGUCUUGGAAGUUCAUUAUCAUUUUGAUUUUUAUCCCUUGCAAAUUGCUUUACUUCCAUGUCUGCUAAUUAGGUAAUUAAUGCACAUUAACUGGUUUUGAUAAUUAGUCCUGAAAAAUUAUUAAAAUGUACAUCCUCCUUAACACGAGAGAUUUAAUUCUUAAUUAAUACUUUUCCUAGAUUUAUUCUCUAAUAAUAAUAGUUGAUUGGCGUAAAGUUAGUCUAAGAAUUAAGAUAACAAUUAUGUACUUUAUCGGUUCACUUAAUAUUUUUUAUACAAUUUGAUCUCUAUUUGAAAUUUAAACUUAAAACUAUGUAUUAAAGAAAAAUUUUAACGAAACUAUCUUUCACUUGAAAAAAAGUUCACUCCACGUAUUUAACAUAACUUAAAGUUUAUACUUUAUAUUUUAUUCCGAGCUCAUUGU
rnacentral:lncRNA from 1 species